AUUAGGAUUAAAUUGUUACGCUGGGGUAAUCACAAGACGUUAGAUCCACUUGCAAGCUUUUAAUAAGAAACAUCGUGGUCGUACAGGCAGGGGUCAAUGACAGCAAACACAACAGGGAAGAACAGGCAGAAUCAUAAUCGGUACACAGGCAGAAUGUCAGGGUAUCAAGCUGAGAAUCACAGUCCAAGAAACAAGCAAUAUAGUCCAGAAGGCAUGCAGCAGUAAUCGUAAACCAGGGAACAGACAAAAUAAGCAACAGACAGACAAUAGAAAAUGCUCAGAAGUGUAACCGUAGUACAACAAGACCUCGCCCUGAACACAAGAAAGCUAGCAGCUUAAAUACUAAAAUCCAAUGAGCUGCAGCUGGAGAGUAAUCAGAGUCCAAGGAUGGGGCUUGUGGGAAAUGUAGUGCAAUAGUCACUGUGUGUGUAUGUGGUUGUAGGAAGAGUGGCAGGUGCAGGGUGAAUGGGAAAUGGAGUUCAAUGGAUAUGUGAAGUCCAGUUUGGAGUGCCCUCUGGUGGCCAUGACGGGCACUCUCACUUGUGAUCAUGACAUAGCCCCCCCCCUUAAGGAGUGGCUUCCAGACGCUCCUAACUAAAAACAGUCCAAAGUUCAGGUGGGAGGUGGAGCGGAGGUGGAACAGGGGGAGGGAUGGAGGGCCAGGUCCACGUGGAAGUGGCAGUGCCGACAGAGCAGGAAUCCAGGGUGGAGCAGGUGGAACUGGAGCCCACCGGGGUGGCGCAGGCGGAACUGGAGCCCACCGGGGCGGCGCAGAGGACCCCCACAGCCGAGCAGACGAGACAGAAUCCCACCAGGGUGGAGCAGAGGACCACCACAGUCUAGUCGAUGGCACAGGAGAGCAAGUCUGGUCAGGUAGGACUGAAACAGAGAACAUAAACAGGUUAAUGGUGGCCUCCGUGGCCGUGAUGAGGCAGUUCGAGAGUUCCCAAACGGCCUCCAUUGCCGUGACAGAAAACUCAGGAAUGACCUCCGUGGUCAUAUCAAGGCAGACAGAAAACUCAGGAAUGACCUCCGUGGUCAUAUCAAGGCAGACAGGGAACUCAGGGACGACCUCUGUGGUCAUUUCAGGGCAGACAGAUAGUUUAUAGGCCAUAAGACUGGAUUUCUGGGCAGAAGCGGGCUCUGAAGCUGAUUCAAGGAUAGGAGCUGUCACUGAAGUAGAUUUAUUGUUUGAAGUGGAUUUGAAGACUGGAGUAGGCUCUAGAAUGGUUUUAAUGAAUGGAACACACUCAAGGACUGGAGUAGACUCAGAAGUGGAUUUAAGGGCUGGAACCGGCUCUGGGGCGGAUUCAUGGACUGGAACAGUCUCAGGAACUGGAGCCGAUGUGUGCAUAGCCCACAUAUACAAAAUGGCUGUGGCCAUGAUGACCAGCGCUGCAGUCUCUGCGAGUUCAGGCGUGGUAGCCAUUUUGGAUGAGGGCUCAGGCGUGGCAGCCAUCUCGGCUGAGGGCUCAGGCGUGGCAGCCAUCUCGGCUGAGGGCUCAGGCGUGGCAGCCAUCUCGGCUGAGGGCUUAGGCAGGUUAGCCAUCUUGUCCAUAGACACGGGCGGUGUGGCAGCCAUCUUGUCCGUAGACACGGGCGGUGCGACAGCCAUCUUGUCCGGACAUACUGGCGGUGCGGACUCAGGAACCAGGAUGGAGACAGGGCGAAGCUCUGGAAGAUCUGUAGGACUGUGAUGAAGGUCUAGAAGAUCAACUGUGACUUGACUUUGUUCAUGAAGAUCAAUGGUGACUUGAUUUGACUCAUUAAGUGUAACUGUGGAUUUACUUGACUCAUGGAGGUUAUUGGUGGCUUGACUCUGCACAUGAAGAUCCAGGGUGACUUGACUCUGCUCAUGAAGAUCCAGGGUGACUUGACUCUGCUCAUGAAGAUCAAGGGUGACUUGACUCUGCUCAUGAAGAUCAAGGGUGACUUGACUCUGCUCAUGAAGAUCAAGGGUGACUUGACCUUGUUCACGAAGAUCCACGGGGACCUGACCUGACUCGGGACGUUCAGCGGGGACGCGAAGGUGCUCUGGAUGGCCUGUGGAGACGCGAAGCGCCUCGGCUCCGGGCACCGCCUCGACCUCCGGAACGGCAUCGGGCACCGCCUCGACCUCCGGAACGGCAUCGGGCACCGCCUCGACCUCCGGAACGGCAUCGGGCACCGCCUCGACCUCCGGAACGGCAUCGGGCACCGCCUCCGGGACGGCAGCGGGCUGCUCGGGAACGGCCUCCGGGACGGCAGCGGGCUGCUCGGGAACGGCCUCCGGGCCUUGAGGAACGGUCGAUGCCUGUCUCCUCCUCCGCCCUCUAUGAUGGCGAGUCGGUGGUACCUUGUCCAGAGACUCAGGCAUUGAGUCGGCCAUCUCAUGCUGUGGCGCUGGGCUGGCGGCCAUCUCGUGCUGUGGCGCUGGGCUGGCGGCCAUCUUGUGCUGUGGCGCUGGGCUGGCGGCCAUCUUGCAAUAAGGCUCAGCUGUUGCCGCCAUUCUGUGCUCGUGCUCUAGUGCGGCUGCCAUAACAUGAGUGAGUGCGAUGUCGCGUUCCUCCUCCGCGACACCCACAGUGAAUGAAGAGCCAGCAGUCCACAGAAC
ensembl:lncRNA